CCCGGCCGACAAGCGGUGGAGUAUGUGGUUUAAUUCGAUGCAACGCGAAGAACCUUACCUCGGUCUUGACAUCCCGGAGACCCUUAGGAAACUAGGGGGUGCUUCCAUCUGGAAGAAUCUGGAGACAGGUGCUGCAUGGCUGUCGUCAGCUCGUGUCGUGAGAUGUUGGGUUAAGUCCCGCAACGAGCGCAACCCUUGCCUUUAGUUGCCAGCAGUUCGGCUGGGCACUCUAAAGGGACUGCCGGUGUUAAACCGGAGGAAGGUGGGGAUGACGUCAAGUCCUCAUGGCCUUUAUGACCAGGGCUACACACGUACUACAAUGGCCGAUACAAAGGGCAGCGACACUGCGAGGUGAAGCCAAUCCCGUAAAAUCGGUCUCAGUCCGGAUUGGAGUCUGCAACUCGACUCCAUGAAGUUGGAAUCGCUAGUAAUCGUGGAUCAGCAUGCCACGGCGAAUACGUUCCCGGGCCUU
rnacentral:rRNA from 1 species